GAUGAACGCUAGCUACAGGCUUAACACAUGCAAGUCGAGGGGUAACAAGAGAAAAGCUUGCUUUUCUUGUUGACGACCGGCGCACGGGUGAGUAACGCGUAUCCAACCUGCCUAUAACUAGGGAAUAACCUUGCGAAAGUAAGACUAAUACCCUAUAAUUUCCUCAGAUGUCAUCUGACGAGGAAUAAAGAUUUAUCGGUUGUGGAUGGGGAUGCGUCUGAUUAGCUUGUUGGCGGGGUAACGGCCCACCAAGGCAACGAUCAGUAGGGGUUCUGAGAGGAAGGUCCCCCACAUUGGAACUGAGACACGGUCCAAACUCCUACGGGAGGCAGCAGUGAGGAAUAUUGGUCAAUGGGCGGAAGCCUGAACCAGCCAAGUAGCGUGCAGGAUGACGGCCCUAUGGGUUGUAAACUGCUUUUAUACAGGAGUAAAGUUAGCCACGUGUGGUUAUUUGUAGGUACUGUAUGAAUAAGGACCGGCUAAUUCCGUGCCAGCCGCCGCCGUAA
rnacentral:rRNA from 1 species